GUUGCCUUUUAGGGCUCUUGACAAAGUUCCUGAACUUGCUAAAAGGUGCACCUGGUGGCAUUGUUGAUCUGAAUAAUGCUGCAGAAACUCUAGAGGUACAGAAAAGGCGUAUAUAUGACAUCACUAAUGUUCUUGAAGGGAUAGGACUGAUAGAAAA